CUCCAGCGACACACGCCCAUGUAUCUCUUCCGUUGCGGCAGACAUUCAACUUCAAGCUUUUUCUGAAACCUCACAUUAAUUAUUCCUUCCCAUCAUGAAUGCAGGAGGCGUUUUUUUGGCCUGAUUUUCGCUCUCAUUUCGAUAUUAUCUAGAGUUAGGGGUCGCGGAGAAGGUUUUGUUUAUCGCGCAACAGGAUUUACUCUAUCUUGGAUUUCAAUUUAGCCACACAAAGAAAUCGCGAGUUCUGUAAGAUAUUUUUUUUCUUUGAUUAUUCACAGUUUCCAUGCAUUUCUGCAACUAAAUCUUAUUCUGCGAGGAAUCAUGAUGGGAACAGUUGUAUUGAGUAGUAGUCAGCGUUCGUGGGAAAUGCAUACAUCCAAUAUGUAUGUAUGACUACGUUUCCGGCGGCGACAUAAGUAAAUGGUCAUCAGUUUUGCUAAAAGGAUAAUAAGGAAGGUAUUAGAGAUAGCCUCACAGUGCAAUGCAAAUUGGUCACAAAGCCCACUCAGCAGACUGAAGUGCCUACAGAAAAAUCCUCGAAAAUAUGAUUAUCCCAAUAAUUCUUCUAUCCACUUAGACAAGCAGCUAAUGUCUUCAUGUCUAAUGCCGAACCAGCAAAAUCAUUGAGAAUGUUCGUUUUUAUCUUGCUUGCCAUGGGUGUAGCAAGAAAGUUGGCGGGGAUGGUUACCUUUAGUACACUAAAUUUGAAAAAAAUAAGUCGGCAUUCUCAUAGUCAGCUCUGGACAGUGAGGCCGAGAAGAUGGUUCGCUACACUGCUUCCGAACUCUUGAGAACCAGCGAAAGCUAUCGUGCUAUCUGGGUUCUCACUAAAUCUGCACCAAACCGUGGGGUUUCAAAUUACUAUGAAAUCCUUCGACUGGAAGCAGAAAGUUGCCACAAGCUACACAGUCAGUUGCAUCGACUACCACAAUCUCCUUACAUCGCCUGAAUCAAAGCAUUCUUUUCUUAAGGCAGACAUAUGGAUCAAUGCCACCGACCAGGGAAAAACACUCUAAAUGAAGGAUUCUUUUGCUGGGAAAUUUACAAGCGAUUACGAAAAAAUUGAUUGUGUGAUAUAAAGGCAUAAUUUGUAACCUCAACUCUUCUUGCACCUAUCUGAGGUCCGAUCUGUGUAUACCGGUAUAGCCUAAAAGGAUAUUAACAAAAGCUAGCUUUUGUCAGAUUCAAUGGCUGGAACAUGGCUAUGGAUGUUAAAGACCGCUGUCUGCUUCAGAAAUUCGGUAACCAAUUAUUUUUUGAACAUUAACAAAUACAAUUGAAGAUAAUUGCACUCAAGAUAUUAUGUUCCAGAAUGAUUACCUGAACUCUGAUGUCCACCUGUCAAGCAUUAAUUAACAUUAGCAAGAGAAGACAAAUUGAAGUAAAACCUGGAAGACUUUGAGAAAAGGUGUCGUGCCGAUCAAAUGAAACCAAAGUUGACCCUCAAAUACGAAACUGGAACGGAUAAAUGGUUAGAUGGUCAUGGUGCAUAUUUAUAUGGUUGCGGGAAAAAAGAUCUAUUGUAAAGAGGAUAAAAGGGCUCUACAGAGCCGUAAAGAAACUUUAUUUAGAAUACCUCAUUAUACUUGAGGUUUGAAGAAAUACAAACUCGUGGUGAUGAAGAAAUAUGGUGGCGACGAAGACAAAAUAUUGGAGCUCAAUCCUUACGACAGGGUCAGUGGCUAAGAAGCGUCCAAAAGGGCACAAAACGGAUGACAUAAUAUCGAUUAGUUAUGUAAAACCAUUCCUAAUAUUUCGUUAAAAAGGUAGGAGUUUCAUGUGUGAAUAUGCCAAUCAAAAGGAAACAUAAUC